UACGUAGGGCGCAAGCGUUGUCCGGUAUUAUUGGGCGUAAAGAGCUCGUAGGUGGCGUGUCGCGUCUGCCGUGAAAGCCCAUGGCUUAACUGUGGGUCUGCGGUGGAUACGGGCAGGCUGGAGGCUGGUAGGGGCAAGCGGAAUUCCUGGUGUAGCGGUGAAAUGCGCAGAUAUCUGGAGGAAUACCGGUGGCGAAGGCGGCAUCCUGGACCGGCAUUGACGCUGAGGAGCGAAAGCCAGGGGAGCAAACGGG
rnacentral:rRNA from 1 species